rnacentral:lncRNA from 1 species
UCCAAUCCCGAGCAAAUCUUUUACAAAAAUUCCCGAAUUUCCCCCCAAAAAUUCCCAGAAAAUCACGGGAAGAAACCUGAAAAAAAUCCCAAAAUUUGGGCUGAAAAAUCCCAAUUUUGGGGCUGAAAAAUCCCAAAAUUUGGGGCUGAAAAAUCCCAAUUUUGGGGCUGAAAAUCCCAAUUUUUUUAAGUGGAAAAACCCCAGGUUUGGGUGGAAAAUUCCCAAUUUUUGAGGUGAAACUCCCAAUUAUUAAGUGGACAAAAAUUCCCCAAUUUUGAGCAGAAAAAUCCCAAUUUUGGGGAGUGAAAAUCCCAAUUUUUGAGCUGAAAAAUCCCAAAUUUUGAGCAGAAAAAUCCCAAUUUUUGGGUGGAAAAACCCCAAUUUUGGGAUCUUCCCAGCUGCUCCCAAACCAGAAUUUUGAUUUCAUUUUUUUCCCCAAAAAAACCCCAAUUUUUAAUAUUUUUUCCUAUGAUUUUAUUUCUUUAUUUUCCCUUUUUUUUUGGAUUUUAAACCAUUUUGGGGCAGAUCUGAAUUCAUUUUUCAUGAUUUUCCCCCAGAUUUUGGACAUUUCCCCUGAUUUUCGAUGCACUUUCAUUUUUAUUUCUCUUUAUUUUAAUUUUUUUUUUUUUCCCAUUUUCAUUUUCAUGGAAAUUUUGGGAUAUUUUGAAAUUUCCCCUGAAUUUUUACGGCUUUUCAAUGGAAUUCUGGACGUUUUCUCCACGAUUUUUUGCCCAUUUUUAGCUGAAUUUUGAUUUUUUUUCCCCAUGAUUUCAGGGAUUUUUCCGUUAUUUUAUUUUUUUACCAUUUUUGUGCCGUUUUUUCCCAAUUUUUUUCCCAUUUUUGUGCCGUUUUUUUUCCUUUUUCCUCCAUUUUUUACCAUUUUUGCUGAUUUUUCCCCCAUUUCCCACAGAAAAAUUGGAGCAAGAGCCUCAAAUCCCAAAAAUCUCGGAUUGAAUCCAUCGGAAAAAACAGAACCAGGGGGAAUUUUGGGGCAAAAUCCCCAAAUUUUGGGGCUUUUUGCUGCUCAAACCCUCAAAAUUUGGGUUUUUCCCCCAGAAUUGGGAAUUUUUUUGGGGAAAAAAAAUGGGAAUUUCAAGCCCAAGUCAGCGCAGGGGAAAAUCCUCGGGAAUUUGGGGAGGAUUUGGGAUUUAUUUACAAUUUUGAUGGCUGAGGAAGGACCCAAAAAGGGACAAAAUGGCCCCAAAAUGGCCCCAAAAUGGGGCAGCUCCCGGGGCCAUCCCAGGGAAUUUGGGGGAAUUUUUGGGGAUUUUUUGGGAUUUUUUGGGGGGAUGAAUUUGGAUUUUGGGGAGGAUUUGGGUUGGUUCUGA